rnacentral:sRNA from 1 species
AUACCUGAGAUAACAAUAAAAAUUUAAUAUUCAAAAAAUCCUGCGCCAAUACAUAUGUACAUACGAACCUGAAAUACUCAGCGCGACUAAGGCAUUAAAAUGCAACAAUUUGUUUUACUUGUUGGCAUUGACUGGACCUGAAGCACAUCCAUGACCCAGCAGCCAGCAGUGGUACGAGCUACCGAGGGCAGAGGAACUGCUGUAGAGGGAAUCAAAAAACAUUUUACGAGCGCAUUUCAACUGUAACAAAUGUCCGAGGGCCAUUGACAGAAGGGCGGUAUGGGAGGAGAGAAAGCAUUGGCUACUACAGGGACAAUCGAAAGCAAAAACCACGCGAGGGUAUGGAUUCAUUGAGUUGGGAGAGUAAAAGCUAGCUGGAUUCUGGGGGAUACGGAACAUCGAAAAAAGGUGAAGGUUAAUAUUUCUAGUUUGAACAUAUAAACUUUAAUCAUUUCGAGUUUUCUCAAACUCUCACUUUCUAAUCUGUAAGUUCUUAGAUAAAUAAUGACUGUUUAAUGAUA